GGAGAGGUCGCAUAGUGGUCUAGUGCACCGCCUUGGAAAGGCGGCAUACCCGAAAGGGUAUCGUGGGUUCAAAUCCCACCCUCUCCGCCA
rnacentral:tRNA from 1 species